UGUUUCAUAUCUUUUAAAUUUGUUAUAACCGGACUGCAUGCGAAUUUGAACUUCAGAGCUGAGGAAGCGGGUGGAGAAAUAGUCCCAAUAUCAUAACAAUCUUAAAUAAAACUUCUAAAUAUGCCCGUGUGUGUACCCGUGUGCGCGCGCGCGUGCGCGCGACCCGCUCACGCGCGCGUGUGUAUGUACAGUAUGUGCGUGAGUUUUUAAUUUAAAAUGUCUUAACUUAACUCGGAAGGAUCUGAAUGACAGGUCAUUUCAUCUGAGAUCAUUCCGCAUGUAACAACCGGAAUCACUCACUGUUUCCCACAACGACACGAGUCAUCAGCCGUUUCCUCAAGGUCACGUCAGGUAAGUGUUUGUAAAUAAAUGUUAAUUUUAGACUAUAUUAAUUGGCAAAGACGCAAAUACUCGACGUUUUUGUAAACAUAUAAGUUAUAUAAAGGUGUGUUAUGUUAUGUGACCGACUUAAAGUGUGUGUUACGUUAUGUGUCCGAGUUAAAGUGGAGCUAUUUUAGUUAAGAUAAUACCGGACAGGGUUUAGGACUCCGUCUUAAUUAUAAUUGGGACAUUUUUACAAACAAACCUUAUAAAAUACAAUACUGGCGUGCAUUUUGAGACAAAACAAUAGCACUCAUAUGUUAAGAGAUGUCAGUAUUUUAGUCAGUGAUAAGUCCUGUCCGAGAAAACCGCCCAAUAGUGUUUAAUUCAAUUACGUGUGAUGUCUGAGGGAAACUUGGCAAUUUUAGGGUAUAAAAUCUUUCACCACAAGCUUUAUUAUAUUAAACAUGUUAUUUAUGUAUGUGUGUGUGUUUAUAUUCCUCUGUUUAUUAAACCAGAGGGGUGGUGAUGUGGAAAGGCAGACCAGACCACCACCAUACGCGAAGAUGAGCCUCGAGGCUUCACAGUUAUUUUUUCAAACUGAGGAGUUCGGACUCCGGACCGUCAUUUCUGCUUGUUUGUACCCUGAGAUAACCAUGGUUAAUAAAUGGUCAGACACGUCACUGGCUUUAAAAUAUAAACCCCAUUGAUGCAAAAAGAUGCUGCAUGGAAUGACAAUGUGGUUUGGAACAGACUUGGUGAAGAACAUGGAAACAUCUCUUAAUAAAAUGGCCCCAAACAUCAUCAGGAGUGCAAAAGAAGGAAGUAAAAACAUCUCUACGCCAAUCUCAUUGGAGAGGAAACCACAGAAGGUCUGGUGAGGAAUGCUGCACUUAUGUUAUUGCAAGCAUUAUUUCAAGAAAAUCCCAGCUUCCUUUACUGUGUAAAUAGUGAACCCAAAGGUCCCACACCAACCAUAGUGUUCAACGGCUCUCCUGAUCUUUUCAAAUCUGAAUGUCGGAGAAGCGGACCGCCCCUGUCGCGGAUCACGCUCCUCCUAGUUCCACCUCGAGGAGGUCCCAAAGCACCCCAAUGACCAGACAAACCAGAGGGGGAGUAUUACGGGGCCAGGGACGUUGGAGGGGUUUCCACGUGACUCCAGCUGGAACACCGCUACAGAGCGUAUCUGGGUGGGUUGGGCACACACCGUCGCGGCGGCCCCUGAUGGCAUCCACAAGGGUCCGAGACCCUCCUAAGCUCCUUGCCGUAGCAGAACUACGUAUUUCAGCACCCGAAGGACUAACAACCCAGCCGGCAUCUGCAGCGUAUAUCCAACGCGAUCAAACUUCACUCUGACAAGUAACUUCCUAUACACAACCACUCCGUCCUUUCGCCCGGACCAGCCCCGCACUCUUUCCGCCCGCUACCUAGCGGUCGCCGGAUCAGCAGAGCCUGCGGACUCUUCGGAGGCUGGUCUUCGUUGUGCUGCCCAAGGCGAAAGUUGACUCGCCCGAAAAUCGACCCUUCCAGUAACUUCUACCUUCUCUCUUUAUAUCCUCCUCCCAGGCGUGGCUCGCCCAACCAUCGCUCGCCACGUCACUCACACAGCUGUGCCUUGUUUCAGCGAGUGCAGGGAUUCCCCGGGGAAGUGCCGGUGUCUGUACAAACCGGUCCGGGCGGAACCUCUUCACUCUCCUUUUGGUUCCGCCCCGCAUAGUCACUCCGUGACAACUGUUUGCGUUUUUUUUUUCUCCUCAAUGUUCAAUACCCUUUUGCCAUUAAGCACACAGUGACUUUAAUUUAUAAAAUAUAUGCUUAAGUUUUAAUACCUGUACAAAACAAAUGUACAAUCAACUUGUGUAAAUUUUAAUAAAAAUUUAAGCUUUAAUUGCUUGUUCAUGUUAGUUCAGAGUGCAUUAACUAAUGUUAACAAGAUUUUAAUAAAGUAAUUGUUGAAAUUAACAUUAACAAAGAUUAAUAAAGGCUGUAUAAGUGCAGUUCAUUAUUAGUUCAUGUUAACUAAUGUAGCUAACUAAUGUUAACUAAUGAACCUUAUUGUAAAGUGUUACCGUGAUUUCUUUUCAUCAUUUCAGACACAUGUAAAAGUUACUAAAAAUUGUAUAGUGUAAUGUAUAGUGUAAUUAAGAGUUUAGCUGUUUAAUACAGAGAUGCAAUUUAUUUAUAUAUAUUAUUUAAACGUAUGUAUGUUUAUUAAAAAGUGAAAAUGCUUAAUGGAAAUAAUUAAAUAACUAAAUGGUUGAAUGUAAUGAGACAUUUUAAAUGUAAACUAAAGUUUUGCUGUCUAAUACAGAAUAAAGAGAUGUGAUUUUAAGUAAUUUUUAUAGAUUUAUAUUUCUGUAUAAUA